rnacentral:rRNA from 2 species
UGGGCGAAGCCUGAUGCAGCUAUACCGCGUGUAUGAAGAAGGCCUUAGGGUUGUAAAGUACUUUCGUUGGGGAGGAAAAAUAAAUAGAUAAUACCUGUUUAUCGUGACGUUACCCAAAAAAGAAGCACCGGCUAACUCCGUGCCAGCAGCCGCGGUAAUACGGAGGGUGCAAGCGUUAAUCAGAAUUACUGGGCGUAAAGAGCUCGUAGGCGGUUUUUUAAGUCAGAUGUGAAAUCCCUGGGCUUAACCUAGGAACUGCAUUUGAAACUAAAAGACUAGAGUAUCGUAGAGGGAGGUAGAAUUCUAGGUGUAGCGGUGAAAUGCGUAGAUAUCUGGAGGAAUACCUGUGGCGAAAGCGGCCUCCUAAAUGAAUACUGACGCUGAGGUGCGAAAGCAUGGGGAGCAAACAGGAUUAGAUACCCUGGUAGUCCAUGCCGUAAACGAUGUCGACUUGGAGGUUGUUUCCUUGAGAAGUGACUUCCGAAGCUAACGCGUUAAGUCGACCGCCUGGGGAGUACGGUCGCAAGGCUAAAACUCAAAUGAAUUGACGGGGGCCCGCACAAGCGGUGGAGCAUGUGGUUUAAUUCGAUGCAACGCGAAAAACCUUACCUGGUCUUGACAUCCACAGAAUUUUUCAGAGAUGAAAAAGUGCCUUAGGGAACUGUGAGACAGGUGCUGCAUGGCUGUCGUCAGCUCGUGUUGUGAAAUGUUGGGUUAAGUCCCGCAACGAGCGCAACCCUUAUCCUCUGUUGCCAUUGGUUCGGCCAGGAACUCAGAGGAGACUGCCGGUUAUAAACCGGAGGAAGGCGGGGACGACGUCAAGUCAUCAUGGCCCUUACGACCAGGGCUACACACGUGCUACAAUGGUGUAUACAAAGAGAAGCAACUCUGCAAAGACAAGCAAACCUCAUAAAGUACAUCGUAGUCCGAC